rnacentral:snRNA from 1 species
GUGCUCGCUUCGGGAGCACAUAUACUAAAAUUGGAACGAUACAGAGAAGAUUAGCAUGGCUAAGGAUGACAUAAAUUCAUGAGCGUUCCAUAUUUUA